rnacentral:rRNA from 1 species
UUUCGAAUUAUUCACAAUGGACGAAAGUCUGAUGGUGCGACGCCGCGUGGGGGAUGAAGGUCUUCGGAUUGUAAACCCCUGUCGUUGAGGAGCAAAAACUGAAUUAGAUUCAGCUUGAGUUAACUCAAAAAGGAAGUAGUGGCAAACUCCGUGCCAGCAGCCGCGGUAAUACGGAGACUACGAGCGUUACUCGGAUUUACUGGGCGUAAAGGGUGUGUAGGUGGUCGAAUGUGUUAGGUGUAAAAUUUCUGGGCUCAACCCAGAAGCCGCACCUAAAACUGUUUGACUAGAGGUUUGGAGGGGCAAGCGGAAUUCCAGGUGUAGCGGUGAAAUGCGUAGAUAUCUGGAGGAACACCGAUGGCGAAGGCAGCUUGCUGGACAAAUUCUGACACUGAAACACGAAAGCGUGGGGAGCAAAAGGG